UCCUACGGGAAGCAGCAGUGAGGAAUAUUGGUCAAUGGGCGAGAGCCUGAACCAGCCAAGUCGCGUGAAGGAAGAAGGAUCUAUGGUUCGUAAACUUCUUUUGCAGGGGAAUAAAGUGCAGGACGUGUCCUGUUUUGUAUGUACCCUGAGAAUAAGGAUCGGCUAACUCCGUGCCAGCAGCCGCGGUAAUACGGAGGAUCCGAGCGUUAUCCGGAUUUAUUGGGUUUAAAGGGUGCGUAGGUGGUUUGAUAAGUCAGCGGUGAAAGUUUGCAGCUUAACUGUAAAAAUGCCGUUGAAACUGUCGGACUUGAGUGUAAAUGAGGUAGGCGGAAUGCGUGGUGUAGCGGUGAAAUGCUUAGAUAUCACGCAGAACUCCGAUUGCGAAGGCAGCUUACUAAGCUACAACUGACACUGAAGCACGAAAGCGUGGGGAUCAAACAGGAUUAGAUACCCUGGUAGUCCACGCAGUAAACGAUGAUUACUAGCUGUUUGCGAUACACAGUAAGCGGCACAGCGAAAGCGUUAAGUAAUCCACCUGGGGAGUACGCCGGCAACGGUGAAACUCAAAGAAAUUGACGGA
rnacentral:rRNA from 1 species